rnacentral:lncRNA from 1 species
AACCGAAACACUUUGAUCAUAUAACAUGCACAAAGACAAAAGCAGUUACUAUUAAACAUAAACACCGUAGCAAACAACACACGUUACACAAACCCAGUCAUAGACAUACUCAACACUCGCAUUUCACACACGUAAAUUAAACAUACAUACCCUUUAAUUAAUAUGUUUUUAAUUCCUAGCCAUACAAAUAUUUAGCUAGAACAAUUCCGCUGCCUUAAUACAGAAGCUGCCCUUGUUGCUGAUAUGCCACCAGGUCAUCCAGCAUCCACAGGUACAACGAGUCCGACUCUCCGCUUCCACUCACCACCUGACUCAGCUGCUCUACCACCACCUCGUCCCCACCCGCCACCUCUUUCUUAGCAUACAUUUCCCCACCACCACCGCCGUGAUAUAAUGGAUCAUAAUAGUAAGAACCGGUCUGGAAACUCGGUUGAGUCGGCUCCACCCGAGUUGACUCAGCAACAAUGCACCGCCUCUUUGUCGGCGGCGGCGUAUCCGGCGCCAGAGAUGGAAGCGGUGAAGAGGAUGGUGGUUGGGCAAAGUUGAGCUUGGCCUUGUCCCCGCGGAUGCGCACGGCGGCUUCAUCGUAAGCGCGGGCGGCUUCCUC